CCUACGGGAGGCAGCAGUGGGGAAUAUUGGGCAAUGGGCGCAAGCCUGACCCAGCAACGCCGCGUGAAGGAAGAAGGCCCUCGGGUUGUAAACUUCUGUUAUCAGGGACGAAGCAAGUGACGGUACCUGAUGAAUAAGCCACGGCUAACUACGUGCCAGCAGCCGCGGUAAUACGUAGGUGGCAAGCGUUAUCCGGAUUUACUGGGUGUAAUGGGCGUGUAGGCGGGAAAGUAAGUCAGAUGUGAAAACCAUGGGCUCAACCUGUGACCUGCAUUUGAAACUGUUUAUCUUGAGUACAGGAGAGGCAGACGGAAUUCCUAGUGUAGCGGUGAAAUGCGUAGAUAUUAGGAGGAACACCAGUGGCGAAGGCGAUCUGCUGGACAGUAACUGACGCUGAGGCGCGAAAGCGUGGGGAGCAAACAGGAUUAGAUACCCGAGUAGUC
rnacentral:rRNA from 1 species